CUUAUCACAGACUUGAUUGGUGUGUAUGAAUUUAAACCCAGCGAUCAAUUUUACAAGAAUUUUACGACUACAUACUGUGAAAAGCAUGCUGUAACACAGCCACUUUGCAAGAACGUUGUUUUUAUGAUUACCGGAUAUAAUGAGGAUCAAUUGGAUACCGAACUUCUCCCAGCGAUUUUGGCUCAUAUUCCCGCUGGAGCCAGUGUGAAUCAAUUUGUCCAUUACGCCCAGAUAAUCAAAUCAG